UGCAAGUCGAACGAACUCUGGUAUUGAUUGGUGCUUGCAUCAUGAUUUACAUUUGAGUGAGUGGCGAACUGGUGAGUAACACGUGGGAAACCUGCCCAGAAGCGGGGGAUAACACCUGGAAACAGAUGCUAAUACCGCAUAACAACUUGGACCGCAUGGUCCGAGUUUGAAAGAUGGCUUCGGCUAUCACUUUUGGAUGGUCCCGCGGCGUAUUAGCUAGAUGGUGGGGUAACGGCUCACCAUGGCAAUGAUACGUAGCCGACCUGAGAGGGUAAUCGGCCACAUUGGGACUGAGACACGGCCCAAACUCCUACGGGAGGCAGCAGUAGGGAAUCUUCCACAAUGGACGAAAGUCUGAUGGAGCAACGCCGCGUGAGUGAAGAAGGGUUUCGGCUCGUAAAACUCUGUUGUUAAAGAAGAACAUAUCUGAGAGUAACUGUUCAGGUAUUGACGGUAUUUAACCAGAAAGCCACGGCUAACUACGUGCCAGCAGCCGCGGUAAUACGUAGGUGGCAAGCGUUGUCCGGAUUUAUUGGGCGUAAAGCGAGCGCAGGCGGUUUUUUAAGUCUGAUGUGAAAGCCUUCGGCUCAACCGAAGAAGUGCAUCGGAAACUGGGAACUUGAGUGCAGAAGAGGACAGUGGAACUCCAUGUGUAGCGGUGAAAUGCGUAGAUAUAUGGAAGAACACCAGUGGCGAAGGCGGCUGUCUGGUCUGUAACUGACGCUGAGGCUCGAAAGUAUGGGUAGCAAACAGGAUUAGAUACCCUGGUAGUCCAUACCGUAAACGAUGAAUGCUAAGUGUUGGAGGGUUUCCGCCCUUCAGUGCUGCAGCUAACGCAUUAAGCAUUCCGCCUGGGGAGUACGGCCGCAAGGCUGAAACUCAAAGGAAUUGACGGGGGCCCGCACAAGCGGUGGAGCAUGUGGUUUAAUUCGAAGCUACGCGAAGAACCUUACCAGGUCUUGACAUACUAUGCAAAUCUAAGAGAUUAGACGUUCCCUUCGGGGACAUGGAUACAGGUGGUGCAUGGUUGUCGUCAGCUCGUGUCGUGAGAUGUUGGGUUAAGUCCCGCAACGAGCGCAACCCUUAUUAUCAGUUGCCAGCAUUAAGUUGGGCACUCUGGUGAGACUGCCGGUGACAAACCGGAGGAAGGUGGGGAUGACGUCAAAUCAUCAUGCCCCUUAUGACCUGGGCUACACACGUGCUACAAUGGAUGGUACAACGAGUUGCGAACUCGCGAGAGUAAGCUAAUCUCUUAAAGCCAUUCUCAGUUCGGAUUGUAGGCUGCAACUCGCCUACAUGAAGUCGGAAUCGCUAGUAAUCGCGGAUCAGCAUGCCGCGGUGAAUACGUUCCCGGGCCUUGUACACACCGCCCGUCACACCAUGAGAGUUUGUAACACCCAAAGUCGGUGGGGUAACCUUUUAGGAACCAGCC
rnacentral:rRNA from 1 species